CCUACGGGAGGCAGCAGUGGGGAAUAUUGGACAAUGGGCGAAAGCCUGAUCCAGCCAUGCCGCGUGUGUGAAGAAGGUCUUCGGAUUGUAAAGCACUUUAAGUUGGGAGGAAGGGCAGUAAGUUAAUACCUUGGUGUUUUGACGUUACCAACAGAAUAAGCCCCGGCUAACUUCGUGCCAGCAGCCGCGGUAAUACGAAGGGUGCAAGCGUUAAUCGGAAUUACUGGGCGUAAAGCGCGCGUAGGUGGUUUAGCAAGUUGGAUGUGAAAGCCCCGGGCUCAACCUGGGAAUUGCAUUCAAAACUGGUGAGCUAGAGUGCGGUAGAGGGUGGUGGAAUUUCCUGUGUAGCGGUGAAAUGCGUAGAUAUAGGAAGGAACACCAGUGGCGAAGGCGACCAUCUGGACUGAUACUGACACUGAGGUGCGAAAGCG
rnacentral:rRNA from 1 species